rnacentral:rRNA from 1 species
AUUGAACGCUGGCGGCAGGCCUAACACAUGCAAGUCGAGCGGUAGAGAGAAGCUUGCUUCUCUUGAGAGCGGCGGACGGGUGAGUAAUACCUAGGAAUCUGCCUGAUAGUGGGGGAUAACGUUCGGAAACGGACGCUAAUACCGCAUACGUCCUACGGGAGAAAGCAGGGGACCUUCGGGCCUUGCGCUAUAAGAUGAGCCUAGGUCGGAUUAGCUAGUUGGUGAGGUAAUGGCUCACCAAGGCUACGAUCCGUAACUGGUCUGAGAGGAUGAUCAGUCACACUGGAACUGAGACACGGUCCAGACUCCUACGGGAGGCAGCAGUGGGGAAUAUUGGACAAUGGGCGAAAGCCUGAUCCAGCCAUGCCGCGUGUGUGAAGAAGGUCUUCGGAUUGUAAAGCACUUUAAGUUGGGUAGGAAGGGCAUUAACCUAAUACGUUAGUGUCUUGACGUUACCGACAGAAUAAGCACCGGCUAAACUCUGUGCCAGCAGCCGCGU